rnacentral:tRNA from 1 species
GGGAAUGUAGCUCAAUGGUCAGAGUAUUCGCCUUUUAAGCGAAAUAAUGAGGGUUCAAAUCCCUUCAGACCCA